GACGAACGCUGGCGGCGUGCUUAACACAUGCAAGUCGAACGGAAAGGCCCUGCUUUUGUGGGGUGCUCGAGUGGCGAACGGGUGAGUAACACGUGAGUAACCUGCCCUUGACUUUGGGAUAACUUCAGGAAACUGGGGCUAAUACCGGAUAGGAGCUCCUUCUGCAUGGUGGGGGUUGGAAAGUUUCGGCGGUUGGGGAUGGACUCGCGGCUUAUCAGCUUGUUGGUGGGGUAGUGGCUUACCAAGGCUUUGACGGGUAGCCGGCCUGAGAGGGUGACCGGCCACAUUGGGACUGAGAUACGGCCCAGACUCCUACGGGAGGCAGCAGUGGGGAAUAUUGCACAAUGGGCGGAAGCCUGAUGCAGCAACGCCGCGUGCGGGAUGACGGCCUUCGGGUUGUAAACCGCUUUCGCCUGUGACGAAGCGUGAGUGACGGUAAUGGGUAAAGAAGCAACGGCUAACUACGUG
rnacentral:rRNA from 1 species